UGGAGGAGCAGUAGAAUGGUGGGGUGGAAAUGGAGAGGAGAGAGCAAGUUAGUAACUUUGUAGAGUGAAACAGGUGUGGGUUGGAGCCUUUGGGUCCCUAAAAGACAUUAAGAAGAUGGAAGAGAGGAAAAGGAAUGGAAGUGGGAAGGUGCCCAGGUAUUGCAACAACCCAAAUCAUAAUAAUUCCUCAUUGACAGAGAUGGAUUUGUACAAUCUGCCCUGAAUUGUUCAGAGUAUUAAGGACCUGGCCAGCUGUGGGGCUAACCAAGGAAGGUGAAAUGACCAGCUGUCUCGCAGCAAAUUCUCUGGAGUGACUAGGAUCUAAAGCAAUAAUAUGCAAAUCCAUAAAGACACUAUGUCCUUUCACUGAUUAAUGGGGUACAAGAAUCCGUGAGAUUUAUAAUCCAAGCAGUUUUAACAACAGCACAACAAAAAAGCUACAGUACCAGGAGGCUCAGUGAGUGGGCAGAUCUUUAAGAACAGCUCUGUGUUGAUCAUUCUUGUGCCGCAAUACUUGUAUGAAUUGCUAAGAGAAUAAUAACAACUACUAUUAAUUCAGCACCUACUGUAUGCCAGAGGCUGUGCUAGUUACUUUCCCUACAUCAUCUCUGAACCUCAUAGUAACGCUCUCAUGAAGAUUUUAUUGUCCUUGUUUGUCUGAUGAAGAACUGAGGUGAAGACAAUUUCAACGAUUUGCCCAAGUCGCCACAGCUGGGGCUGGGCGCGGUGGCUCACGCCUAUACUCCCAGCAAUUUGGGAGGCCGAGGUGGACAGAUCACAUGAGGUCAGGAGUUUGAGACCAUCCUGGUCAACAUGGUGAAAC